rnacentral:rRNA from 1 species
AUUGAACGCUGGCGGCAUGCUUUACACAUGCAAGUCGAACGGUAACAGGCCGCAAGGUGCUGACGAGUGGCGAACGGGUGCGUAAUGCAUCGGAACGUGCCCAGUCGUGGGGGAUAACUACUCGAAAGAGUAGCUAAUACCGCAUACGAUCUAUGGAUGAAAGCGGGGGACCGUAAGGCCUCGCGCGAUUGGAGCGGCCGCUGUCAGAUUAGGUAGUUGGUGGGGUAAAGGCUCACCAAGCCAACGAUCUGUAGCUGGUCUGAGAGGACAACCGGCCACACUGGGACUGAGACACGGCCCAGACUCCUACGGGAGGCAGCAGUGGGGAAUUUUGGACAAUGGGCGCAAGCCUGAUCCAGCAAUGCCGCGUGCAGGAAGAAGGCCUUCGGGUUGUAAACUGCUUUUGUACGGAACGAAACGGCUCUGGUUAAUACCCGGGGCUAAUGACGGUACCGUAAGAAUAAGCACCGGCUAACUACGUG